AAAGCCGAUAAACCUUCUUAGUCUUGUAUGCAUUGAUCUGCGUUCUACCUUGGCUUUCUGAAGUAGAUCUGUUUACCUUGUCCUUCUAUAUUUUUCUGCCCAUGAGAAGUCCAUUUGCUCAUUUUUAUCCAUAUCCCAACCGAGCUUUAAAUUUCUCCCUUAUCCUCGCUUGGUUUGGCUGUUUGUCAAUGGUUUUCUCUUUUCUCUUCUAAAUUACACAGUUCUCCCGUUACUGGCCCAAGCUCCUUUUCCAUUACCCACUUUGCGCCUUCAGUCCGGGCAGCAUUCUACACAUCCGUUGGAAUCAAGAAGAGAAACGGUAUUUCAUUCCAGGCGGCGAGCUCGCUCUUUCCCCUUUCCUUGAUAUAAACAUGACGUCUAUCGCUUCUCUCCUCAACCCGGAGCCUGAAUCGAGAGAGAGAUAUCCCCAACAGCUCCCCACGCCGUCCCCCAGCCGCUUUGCAAGAGAGUACCGCCAGUCCCCCCCUCCAAGGCAGAAAAAACAGA
rnacentral:sRNA from 2 species